UAUAUAGAAUAUCAAUUCACUGCAAUAAUGAAGAUAAUAAUGAUGCAAAUGAUUUUGAUAGUUACAUUAAUGAUGAUGGUGCAGAUGAUAAUAAUAGUUACAUUAAUGAUAACAGUACAGUAAAUCACAAUUUUUUAAAUAAUAUUGAACGUUGUGAGAAUAAUAAUAUAUCCAGAACUUCCUCGAGAUGCUCGUACUUUAUUAGGCACUUUGAGAAAAAUACAUACAGAUGUUGAACCAGGACACUAUUAUCAUUUUGGGAUAAAUCAUUGCGUAGAAAAACUUAUAGAAGCUUCGCAAUAUUCCUUUAAAAAUUUACAGAUAAUUGAAAUUAUUGUUAAUAUUGAUGGCUUGCCUUUAUCUAAAAGUUCGGGGAGUCAAGUCUACCCUAUUUUAUGCAGUUUGGUUAACAAUUACAACAAUGUUGGCAUUAUUGGAAUUUAUCAUGGGUAUGAAAAACCUGCAGACGCUAAUAUAUUUUUGCAAUCUUUCGUAAAAGAAGCUCAAAAUUUGGUUACCCAUGGUGUAACAGUUAAUGGAAUAAUAUAUCCAUUUAAAAUUAAAGCAUUCAUUUGUGAUGUUCCAGCUCAGU